AAAGGGCACUCUGAUGGGACUGCCGGUGACAAACCGGAGGAAGGUGGGGAUGACGUCAAGUCCUCAUGGCCCUUAUAGGUGGGGCUACACACGUCAUACAAUGGCCGGUACAAAGGGCAGCCAACCCGCGAGGGGGAGCCAAUCCCAUAAAGCCGGUCGUAGUCCGGAUCGCAGUCUGCAACUCGACUGCGUGAAGUCGGAAUCGCUAGUAAUCGUGGAUCAGCAUGUCACGGUGAAUACGUUCCCGGGUCUU
rnacentral:rRNA from 1 species